AUACGUAGGGUGCGAGCGUUGUCCGGAUUUAUUGGGCGUAAAGGGCUCGUAGGUGGUUGAUCGCGUCGGAAGUGAAAUCUUGGGGCUUAACCCUGAGCGUGCUUUCGAUACGGGUUGACUUGAGGAAGGUAGGGGAGAAUGGAAUUCCUGGUGGAGCAGUGGAAUGCGCAGAUAUCAGGAGGAACACCAGUGGCGAAGGCGGUUCUCUGGACCUUUCCUGACGCUGAGGAGCGAAAGCGUGGGGAGCGAACAGGCUUAGAUACCCUGGUAGUCCACGCUGUAAACGGUGGGUACUAGGUGUGGGGUCCAUUCCACGGAUUCCGUGCCGUAGCUAACGCUUUAAGUACCCCGCCUGGGGAGUACGGCCGCAAGGCUAAAACUCAAAGGAAUUGACGGGG
rnacentral:rRNA from 1 species